AGAGUUUGAUUCUGGCUCAGGAUGAACGCUAGCUACAGGCUUAACACAUGCAAGUCGAGCGGAACACCUUCGGGUGUUUAGCGGCAGACGGGUGAGUAACACGUAUCCAACCUUUCCCUUACUCGGGUAUAGCCUCGGGAAACUGAGAGUAAUCCCCGAUGUGGUGCACGGAAAGCAUUUUUUGCGCACGAAAGAUUCAUCGGUAAGGGGUGGGGAUGCGUUCCAUUAGGUAGUAGGCGGGGUAACGGCCCACCUAGCCGAUGAUGGAUAGGGGUUCUGAGAGGAAGGUCCCCCACAUUGGAACUGCGACACGGUCCAAACUCCUACGGGAGGCAGCAGUGAGGAAUAUUGGUCAAUGGGCGAGAGCCUGAACCAGCCAAGUAGCGUGCAGGAUGACGGCCCUAUGGGUUGUAAACUGCUUUUGUGCGGGAAUAACGGUCGCCACGUGUGGUGAUGUGCAUGUACCGUACGAAUAAGGAUCGGCUAACUCCGUGCCAGCAGCUGC
rnacentral:rRNA from 1 species